rnacentral:rRNA from 1 species
UACGAGGGGGGCAAGCGUUGUUCGGAAUUAUUGGGCGUAAAGGGCGCGUAGGCGGGAUGGCAAGUCGGUCGUGAAAUCCUUCGGCUCAACCGAAGAACGUCGGCCGAUACUGCCGUUCUUGAGGGAUGCAGAGGAGAUUGGAAUUCCCGGUGUAGCGGUGAAAUGUGUAGAGAUCGGGAGGAACACCGGUGGCGAAGGCGGGUCUCUGGGCAUCUCCUGACGCUGAGGCACGAAAGCUAGGGGAGCAAACAGG